CUAAUCACACGAACGGGUGGCGCAGUAUUCUAGUCAACCGCCCACUCUUGAAGACGGGGCUAAAAAUCCGUCAAAGGGCACAUCGAUGAAGUUCCUGGUGUUGGCUUGAGGCGCCCAGCCUUGGGCUGAUGCUGGGAGUUAAGAAAGUUGGGAGACCCGCAAUGGCAUGCGGACGUUAGCCCAGCUUUCGCGGAGGCCUAAGUGCGUGGCUCGCAAUUAAAGGGGUUACGGCUUGGGGUAUGAACCUGCAUGCGGAGGCAAUCUGUGUGCAGUGUAGCCUGCCUUGAGUGGUAUUGAAGGAUUCUGGGAAACAAGCUGUUAUCCUCGGCCAAGGAAUAACAGCCCGUGCCAGAUGAAAUCCAUACUGCAAAAGAGGCUAGAGAGUGGCCUUCCGGUUGUUGCGGAAAACGCCUAGACUGUUCGCUUGGCGUGGCACCUUGAGGAUUAUAGUGUGGACUAAGUGGUAAUCUAGUCUGGCCUUCGGCGACGCGGCCAAUGCGCGUUGAAAGGGAAACCGUCAUGGCGGCGACGCUGUGAUACGUGCAUGGGAAAACCAACUGGACCUAAGCCACAGCGUUUACUCAAGGUGCUGCCACCCGCUGGAUGUUUCUU
rnacentral:sRNA from 2 species